CUGUAAGGUAAAUAUGCUGUGGACCAGGCAGAAGAGAAAGGAGACCUGGAUGGAGAGGGUCAGGAAACAUAGAAGACCAAGAAGCUGUUUGCCAGGACAGAGGAGAACAGCGCGGUUCAACUGUGGAUAUUGUGAGCAUGCUCAGGUUGUGAGAUUGUCCUGGCUGUGAUGGACUGGCAUGGUUUCACAGGCUGCCUUCACUGGGGACACCAGAUAAGAGAGAAACGCACCCAAAAACUUCUGGUGGUAUGCCUCAGCUUCUUGCUGCUUCUGAGGACUCGGCUGAUUGGCAAAGUGAUGUCAUCUGGGACAGACUCACGUACUGAGACAAGAGACAUGGCUCACAGCUAUGCUUCAUUUUCUUUGUGACAGAGAACAGGAAGGGCCUGGGGGUUUGGAUCCACAGUCAUUGACAAGCACAUGUGGCUUUGGAUGCCAGGGUCCCUGGCACACGGCUCUGAGAUGGUGAAGAAUUGAAAUGCUACUAAAGCCCCUCCCUGAGCAAGAAAAUCUUGGCAGGAUGACGCCAGAAGCAUGGGGAGGGGAAGGCUCUGCUCCUGAUGGACCACGGUGAGCCUUGAUGCUGUCCAAACAGGUUCUGCCAAACCCCAGGAGCGGCUUCUGGGCAAACAUGGGACUAGCACCGGGACUGGCACGUGAAGGCGAAUGCAAAGGGUUUGGGAGAUAUUUUUUUCUCCCAACAAGGAAGCAGGCCGCUGUUGAUUUCCCCCUGAGGGGCCGGAAGUGCACUGCAGCAGUGUUCCGGUGGGCUGCUGGGCCUGGGUCUCCUCCUCCGAGCCCUGCAUCCUGGGGACCAGUGCUUGUGCAUUUGUCCCACAGAGAUACUGUGACUGCAGCCAGCCCUGCAGCAUCC
rnacentral:lncRNA from 1 species